rnacentral:lncRNA from 1 species
UUUCAUGUUCAAUUUCCUCAGUUCAGAAGAGGGUGCUCUCCAACCCCAGCCGGCUUCUUCACUCCCCUUUGGGAUCUUAGCUGGUAAAUUUCAACCAUGUGUUUUGCCCUAAAGGGGAAGUCCUCUGCCAGCUGUCUGGAGGGCCAUCCUUCCCAUUCAUAUCCCACUCCUGGUGCAUCUGGAGUCUUUGUCAAGUUCAUCUCCCAUGUUCACAAAUCCAUCAGUUUUCCCAGUGUUGUGGCUUAACUCUGUGGGUGUUUCUUUUCAUCCUCCCUACCCAUGUGCAAUGGGUUUGAGGCCUUCUUUUCUCUAAGUAAUGAGAUCCAUCAUCUUCUGAUACUUGCUUCUGACUCAUGCAGCAUAGGUGUUCCUCAACACUCUCAUCUCCUGAUCCCAUGCCUGAUGCAUGGCCUUCUCCUGCAAAUUCUCCUUUACCUCUUCCCUCCCCAGUGCCUCCGUCUUUGUCCCAGUCCUCUCCUCCUCAA